AUUGAACGCUGGCGGCAGGCCUAACACAUGCAAGUCGAACGGUAACAGGAAGAAGCUUGCUUCUUUGCUGACGAGUGGCGGACGGGUGAGUAAUGUCUGGGAAACUGCCUGAUGGAGGGGGAUAACUACUGGAAACGGUAGCUAAUACCGCAUAACGUCGCAAGACCAAGGAGGGGGACCUCUGGCCCUCUCGCCUUCGGCUGGGCCCAGAUGGGAUUAGCUAGUAGGUGGGGUAACGGCUCACCUAGGCGACGAUCCGUAGCUGGUCUGAGAGGAUGACCAGCCACACUGGAACUGAGACACGGUCCAGACUCCUACGGGAGGCAGCAGUGGGGAAUAUUGCACAAUGGGCGCAAGCCUGAUGCAGCCAUGCCGCGUGUAUGAAGAAGGCCUUCGGGUUGUAAAGUACUUUCAGCGGGGAGGAAGGGAGUAAAGUUAAUACCUUUGCUCAUUGACGUUACCCGCAGAAGAAGCACCGGCUAACUCCGUG
rnacentral:rRNA from 1 species